rnacentral:rRNA from 1 species
UACAGAGGUCUCAAGCGUUGUUCGGAUUCAUUGGGCGUAAAGGGUGCGUAGGCGGCGCGGUAAGUCGGGUGUGAAAUCUCGGAGCUUAACUCCGAAACUGCAUUCGAUACUGCCGUGCUUGAGGACUGGAGAGGAGACUGGAAUUUACGGUGUAGCGGUGAAAUGCGUAGAUAUCGGGAGGAACACCGAUGGCGAAGGCAGGUCUCUGGGCCACUACUGACGCUGAGAAGCGAAAGCAUGGGGAGCGAACAGG